rnacentral:rRNA from 1 species
UACGUAGGGUCCAAGCGUUAUCCGGAUUUAUUGGGCGUAAAGCACAUGUAGGUGGUCUAAUAAGUCUUCUCUUAAAUCUCCAAGCUUAACUUGGAUCCUGGAGAAGAUACUAUUAGGCUAGUGGUCAGCAGGGGCAAAUGGAAUUCCCGGUGUAGGAGUGAAAUCCGUUGAUAUCGGGAGGAACACCAAUGGCGAAGGCAAUUUGCUAGGCUGAUUCAGACACUGAGAUGUGAAAGCGUGGGGAGCGAACGGG